CCUACGGGAGGCAGCAGUGGGGAAUAUUGCACAAUGGGGGAAACCCUGAUGCAGCGACGCCGCGUGAGUGAAGAAGUAUUUCGGUAUGUAAAGCUCUGUCAGCAGGGAAGAAAGAAAUGACGGUACCUGACCAAGAAGCCCCGGCGAACUACGUGCCAGCAGCCGCGGUAAUACGUAGGGGGCAAGCGUUAUCCGGAAUUACUGGGUGUAAAGGGAGCGUAGAGGGUUAAGUAAGUCUGGAGUGAAAGGCCGGGGACCAACCCCGGGACUGCUCUGGAAACUAUUGAAAUUGAGUGCAGGAGAGGUAAGCGGAAUUCCUAGUGUAGCGGUGAAAUGCGUAGAUAUUAGGAGGAACACCAGUGGCGAAGGCGGCUUACUGGACUGUAACUGACGUUGAGGCUCGAAAGCGUGGGGAGCAAACAGGAUUAGAUACCCUAGUAGUC
rnacentral:rRNA from 1 species